CCUACGGGGGGCAGCAGUGGGGAAUAUUGCACAAUGGGCGCAAGCCUGAUGCAGCCAUGCCGCGUGUGUGAAGAAGGCCUUCGGGUUGUAAAGCACUUUCAGCGGGGAGGAAGGCGGUGAGGUUAAUAACCUCAUCGAUUGACGUUACCCGCAGAAGAAGCACCGGCUAACUCCGUGCCAGCAGCCGCGGUAAUACGGAGGGUGCAAGCGUUAAUCGGAAUUACUGGGCGUAAAGCGCACGCAGGCGGUCUGUCAAGUCGGAUGUGAAAUCCCCGGGCUCAACCUGGGAACUGCAUUCGAAACUGGCAGGCUAGAGUCUUGUAGAGGGGGGUAGAAUUCCAGGUGUAGCGGUGAAAUGCGUAGAGAUCUGGAGGAAUACCGGUGGCGAAGGCGGCCCCCUGGACAAAGACUGACGCCCAGGUGCGAAAGCGUGGGGAGCAAACCGGAUUAGAUACCCGAGUAGUC
rnacentral:rRNA from 1 species